CCGGCUUGCUCGACUGAAGCCCGGACGUCCCAGGAUGCGAGUGCCCAGUGGCCACUUUUGGUAAGCAGAACUGGCGCUGUGGGAUGAACCAAACGCUGGGUUAAGGCGCACGAUGCCAGACGCUCAUCAGAUCCCAUGAAAGGUGUUGGUUGCUAUAGACAGCAGGACGGUGGCCAUGGAAGUCGGAAUCCGCUAAGGAGUGUGUAACAACUCACCUGCCGAAGCAACUAGCCCUGAAAAUGGAUGGCGCUGUAGCGUCGAGCCCAUACCCGGCCGCCCCGGCUGGGCACGGAAGCUUAAGCCGGGGUGAGUAGGAGGAGUCGCAGCGGCGUGCGUUGAAGGUGCCGGGCGUGGGCCCGCCUGGAGCCGCCGCUGGUGCAGAUCUUGGUGGUAGUAGCAAAUACUCAAGUGAGAACCUUGAGGACUGAGGUGGAGAAGGGUUCCAUGUGAACAGCAGUUGAACAUGGGUCAGUCGGUCCUAAGGGAUAGGAGAAAUCCGUUCCGAAGCGGGACCUGCGUGCACCGUGAGGUCCCGUGGUCGACCGAAAGGGAAUCGGGUUAAUAUUCCCGAACUCGGACGCGGAGAUCGGCCCCUCGGGGUCAACUGCGGUAACGCAACCAAACUCGGAGACGUCGAUCGGGGUCCCGGGAAGAGUUGUCUUUUCUUUGUAAGGGAUCGGCUCCCUGGAAUCGGCUCGCCCGGAGAUAGGGAUGCUGUUCCCGUAAAGCACCGCGGCUCUUGCGGUGUCCGGAGCGCUCCGGUCGGCCCUUGACAAUCCGAGGGAGAGUGUGAUUUUCGUGCCGGACCGUACCCAUAUCCGCAGCAGGUCUCCAAGGUAAACAGCCUCUAGUCGAUGGAAUA
rnacentral:rRNA from 1 species